CGUUGCUGUAGCUUCCCAUAUGUCUGCCCAAUCGCUCUGGUUCCCUAUGGGGCCAAGGUCUCUCUCCCAGGCUGCAGUGUAGGACAGAGAUCCCUCUCGUGGUUGUCUGCUUAGUAAGGAGUAUAAGGUUGAUAUUUGUCCCGUGCCUAGUGGAUGUGUGUUGCACGCUUUUUCCAGCGGUGUGAGAGGGGAGUUGCUCGCUUUCACUAAGGCUGGUUUUUC